rnacentral:rRNA from 1 species
GAUGAACGCUGGCGGCGUGCCUAAUACAUGCAAGUCGAGCGAACGGACGAGAACCUUGCUUCUCUGAUGUUAGCGGCGGACGGGUGAGUAACACGUGGAUAACCUACCUAUAAGACUGGGAUAACUUCGGGAAACCGGAGCUAAUACCGGAUAAUAUUUUGAACCGCAUGGUUCAAAAGUGAAAGACGUUCUUGCUGUCACUUAUAGAUGGAUCCGCGCUGCAUUAGCUAGUUGGUAAGGUAACGGCUUACCAAGGCAACGAUGCAUAGCCGACCUGAGAGGGUGAUAGGCCACACUGGAACUGAGACAGGGUCCAGACUCCUACGGGAGGCAGCAGUAGGGAAUCUUCCGCAAUGGGCGAAAGCCUGACGGAGCAACGCCGCGUGAGUGAUGACGGUCUUCGGAUCGUAAAACUCUGUUAUUAGGGAAGAACAUAUGUGUAAGUAACUGUGCACAUCUUGACGGUACCUACUCAGAAAGCCACGGCUAACUACGUG